AGAGUUUGAUCAUGGCUCAGGAUGAACGCUAGCGGGAGGCCUAAUACAUGCAAGUCGAGCGGCAGCUUUGGAUUCGUCUGAAGUGAGAGCGGCGCACGGGUGAGUAACGCGUACGAAAUCUACCGAUAGUUGGGGGAUAGCCCCGGGAAACUGGGAGUAAUCCGCCAUAUCUUUAUGGGGCGGCAUCGUUUUAUAAAGAAAGCUGAGGCGACUAUUGAUGAUCGUGCGUCUGAUUAGGUAGUUGGUAGGGUAACGGCCUACCAAGCCGACGAUCAGUAGGGGGCGUGAGAGCGUGACCCCCCACACGGGUACUGAGACACGGACCCGACUCCUACGGGAGGCAGCAGUAAGGAAUAUUGGUCAAUGGGCGGAAGCCUGAACCAGCCAUCCCGCGUGCAGGAUGAAUGCCCUAUGGGUUGUAAACUGCUUUUAUCUGGGAAUAAACCACUCUAUUUAUGGGGUGUUGAAGGUACCAGAAGAAUAAGCACCGGCUAACUCCGUGCCAGCAGCCGCGGUAAUACGGAGGGUGCAAGCGUUAUCCGGAAUCACUGGGUUUAAAGGGUGCGUAGGCGGCUAUGUAAGUCAGGGGUGAAAUGCUACAGCUUAACUGUGGAAUUGCCUUUGAUACUGUGUGGCUUGAAUAAGGAUGAGGUUGGCGGAAUGUGGCAUAGCGGUGAAAUGCAUAGAUAUGCCAUAGAACACCAAUUGCGAAGGCAGCUAACUGGACCUUUAUUGACGCUGAGGCACGAAAGCGUGGGGAUCAAACAGGAUUAGAUACCCUAGUAGUCC
rnacentral:rRNA from 1 species